rnacentral:lncRNA from 1 species
AGUUGUUGUGGUAAAUCUCCAACCCAAAUAAGCUCCAUGUAAGGAAAACAACUCAAUAUGAAUACAAGCUACAUGCCUAGAUUGGGCAGAUCUACCACUACACUACUAUAUUCCCCAUCUGUGAUAUCCCUUGCAGUUUGCAGUUUCUCUAGGGCAUGUGCUUCUGCUUCAUUUUCCUUCCACCUCUUCCUCUUCUCUCUUCAUCUCUCUCCUUCCUCUUCUCAUCUCGCCCUCCUCUUCUCUCUCCCUCUAAAACUUUCAGCUCCUCCUCCCCUUCCACUGCCCAAUCACUGUCUCUAGCCUUUAUUUUACAAGUUAAAAUGGGGAGGUUUACAUGAAGUCACCUGAGUACUUGAUUCACCCCUUUUUCAAGGCAGCUCCUUUUGGGGAAGUGAAAUUAGCAUCAAAAUACAAACUGCACCUGGGCAAUCAACACAAUGGAUCAAAUUGCUCUUAGAGUGCUCCAGAGGGCAGAGCUGGAGAAGUGACACCACCCCUUUGGAGGAGCCCAGAAGAUCAUGUGUGGAUCCCAGACAUUGAAACAAGAAGUUGUAACAUUGAAGUGGCCUUGGAGACCCCAAGAUGUCCUAGAUGCCAGAGCCGUGGGCUAUCUGCUGAGGAAAGCUGCUAACAGAGAAUGGAACCCACCCAUGAGAAAGAAGUUAUUGCAGUCAACAAAGAUGAAAGAGGAGUUGGAGAUCUGAAGACCACGUAGACAUCAGACAGGGAGAUGUAGAGUUUGGAGGUUGCCCAGCUGGUUUCCUGUCUUGCUUUGGGGAUUAAGUGAUUGGAUGAAUCUCAGGAGAGACUUUGAAAUUCGACUUUUAACAUUGUUGAGACUGCUAUAGACUAUGGGGACCUUUCUAUUUGGAAUAAAUGUAUUUUGUAUUAUACUAUUUAGGUAUGGCCACCUUAGGCUCACAUGUUUGAACAAGCCUAUGAGGGCUAGGGAGUGGAAUGUAAUGGUUUGUUUAUGCUCAGUCCAUGGCGUGGCACUAUUAGAGCAUGUACCCCUGUUAGAGUACGUGUGUCACUGUGGGUGAGGGCCUUAAGACCCCCAACCUAGCUGUAUGGAAGUCAUAAUUCUGCUAGCAGUCUUCAGAUGAAGAUGUAGAACUCUCAGCUGCUCCUGCACAAUGCCUGCCUGGAUGCUGCCAGGUUCCUGACUUAAUAAUGGACUUAACCUCUCAACCUGUAAGCCAGCCCCAAUUAAAUGUUGUUUUUACAAGAGUUGGCUAGGUCAUGGUGUUGGUUCACAGCAGUAAAACCCUAACUAAGGCACCUGCCCAUCUACUUUCUGCCCUGUAACAACCUCAGGUGAUAAGUAAAUAUACUCUGACCCUUGCAGGAAUCCCUCUGCAGCCUUUCCUCCCAAGUAAUGGUGUUAUCCUGUCUGAAGCUGCUCAAGGCUUUCUGCCUUCCUUCUGUCAUUUUAACCAGAGCUGCUGGCACUUACAUUUCUGAGCUCUACAAAGGAGACAGUUAAAUUGCUAAUGAACUAUGCCUUAAGUUUUAAGUAUGACAGUGUCAGGAUCCCUUUGAUCCAUGUUUUCUCUCCACUAGCACUUCUUUCUCCACCUUAAGCCUGCACAAUGUACCUAUGAUGAGCCAGCCUGCCUCCACUUGGGUUUAAAGGCCAUCUUUUUUUUUUUCUUUUUCUUUUUCUUUUUUGUUUUUUUUUUGUUUGUUUGUUUGUUUGCAAUUUCAGUGUCUUCAUUAAAAAAAACAUACAACACAAAACAACAAAAACAAAACAAACUAGGUAUAAAAGCCUUUGUUCCAAAUAGUAUACAAAUGGUUUUUUUCUUGUUUGUAUUUUAAAGAUUUAAGAAAUUUCUUAUAUCAUAAAUAAAGGAUUUCUUCCUCAAUUGACUUUUUGUAGUGCAGCAUUAAAAAACCCAAGUGUAAAAGUGUAGAAAUUUGUCAUUUAGAAAAGAAAAAUUUUUUAUCAAUGUAGUGUUUCGUAUGUAACAGCAAACAACCAUUACAGAUUAUACUUUCUACAAUGGGGUAAAACCUGAAACAUUGUAGUUCAUAAGCCUCCGACCAUAUGCAAAAACAGCUAUUUCUCAAAAUAGACUUAGCUUUAGUCACAUAAACGUGAGGGUCUCAAGUUUUAAUAUUUAGCUCGAUUAAUAGUUCUAAAUGCAUUAUGUUUAAGUUGAAAAUAAUCUACAACAAUAUUCAACAUUAUAACCCAAAGCUAAUACAACUAUCUUCCAUGAUGAAAUGAGACAUGACAGCACAGUAUGAGAAACAAAACAUUCAAAUGAGAAUUGUUUGUAUGUAUGUGUUUGGAGUUUUUUAGACACAGGAUAAUACGAAGUUCUUGUUGUUGUACUCCAUGUAUAGUCAACUCCCAAAAUUACCAAUAGCUACUUCCAAAAGUAGCUGCUAUCUUUUGUAUAUUUUCAGUGAAGUAGUUUACAUCUGUAACAAGGAUUCCAUUAUUUUCAAAGAUUUCUGUGGAAACUGUGGGCUUGUCUGUUAGGAAGACAGCAAUCCUGGCACUGAUAUGUUGAAUUUGCAGGUUUAACAAGCAUUUCAAAAUUCCAGCUUUUGUUGAUGAUGGAGAAUCACAGUUGUGAUAAUGAAGUAAGUCAAUGAUUUUUCUGUUCUUUUUAAUGGGGGAAACAGGAGUGCUCUGCUCUGCUAGCAUACCUUCAUGCCAGAAGAGAGCGCCAGAUCCCGUUAUAGAUAGUUGCUGUGAUUGUAACCAUUGUGUCAUCUCACCAGCCUCUUGAAGUCAUCUUAUAGUUAAAGACAAAGUAAGUUCAUUCCUGUUUAUGGUUACACCUGUGCUUCUCAAAGACAGGUCUAGGCCCCACCUGUAACCUUAACUUCAAAUGGUUCUGUACUGUAUGUUCCAGGAAACAACCAUGUCUUUGUUUCAAAACCCAACUGUCUCACAACCCUCUGACUACCCGAUUCCACCCACCUUAGAAUCACGUCUUUGUUCCCGGAGGUCCUUAGGACUAAAUUAUUGCUUGUUAUGCUUAUUUUCUCCUCGAGGAAGGCCACCUGUUUUGUUCACCAGACCCCCCCAUUCAGUAACCCCCUUACCCGAGCUCUAUAAUGUCCAACACUGACCUCUCGAACACGACUGUGGAUUGGGGGAGGCAAUGUAUACAAAUAAAAAAUUUGUUUAAUU